rnacentral:misc_RNA from 1 species
UUUUAAUUCGAUACGUCUCCCAUUUCAAUUGGACCCUCUAUCCAUUUUCCCCAUAUUUUCAUCGUUUUCACCUAAUCCAAUGAUGUACAGAUUUCACUGUUGAAUUUGUUCCUUUCUUCAUCUACUCCUUUAUUUUUCAUUCACUCUUCUCUUCCAUCUGUGGGUUUCUUCCAACUUUUUUUUCUCAUAUGGAUAUCUCCAGAUGGGUUUUCUUGAUUUUGAUUUUUGUUUCUUUUGCCACAAUACCCAUAUUCUCAGAUUCUCAAUUGAGUUCAGGAGAACUACCAGACAUACCGGUUAAGUUUCUUGAUUUUGCGAAGAAAUCUGAGGUUUUUGAUUGGAUGGUGGAGGUUAGGAGAAGGAUACAUGAGAAUCCUGAGCUGGGUUAUGAAGAAUUAGAGACUAGUAAGCUUAUUAGAGAAGAA